CUCUCCUGCACAGGGCCGCCUUCGACGACACGCCACUCGACGCCCUGUUCGAUUUUUGGUUUAUUUACAGCUGGAUGCAACAACUGAUCAGGUUACAGAUGAAGCAACAAAUGUUGGUUCCCAGGCUCGAAAUCUGAAGCUUCCUUUUGGUGAGAUAGAUGUGAAGAAUCUGGAGCUGCUCAGUAGGCAGUUGGGUCUUGAGCAUGUUGAGGUCCUGAUGAUAAGUCAUUAUUGACGUGAAAUGUGAACCUAUUUCUAGUACUUCUCAAGGAGAGCAAUAGUACUGAUACAAAAGCUACUUGUACUUUUCAUUUACACGUUACAUGAAGAAUAAAUAAACAGAGUGCAAGUAGGCGUUGCACGAUCACGCCAA